rnacentral:lncRNA from 1 species
CCAAGUGAAGUUUGGCACAAACUAGGCUGUGGUGUAAUAAAGGCCCAGUCAAUGAAGAUGGGACUAACCAGACAACUGAAGAACCAAUACGUUUUGUCCACAUCAUGUCCACCCUGAGGACACAGAGGCUGGAGAAGGACUUGCUGGCACAAGUGCAGUUCAGCAGAUGAGAUCUAAGGGAAAUGGAGACAGACCAUGGAGCAAGUCUAGGGGCUUGUGG